ACAGCUUCAACUGAAGAGACUGAGGGAGCAACUCAUCAGAAUAUCCUGUAGUUCUGGGCACCAAUCUGAGAGAUGUCAAAUCCCAGUUCAAAUCCCUUCUCUCACCAGAUGGAGGGAGGACUUCAAGCAGAGAUCUCCAACAUCCCAGGAGCAUGUUGAAGAAGUUCCCUUCCCUGAUGAACCUGAGUAGGACACCAAGCCAGAGGAGGAACCAGAAACAAAGCCUGUUGUCUGAGGCUGUGGCGCUGAGCUGAAUCUUCAGGAAACCUGGUGAAGUUGUAGUUUGUCUUUCUUUCCCUGUCCAUUUCAC